rnacentral:rRNA from 1 species
GAUGAACGCUGGCGGCGUGCCUAAUACAUGCAAGUCGAGCGAACAGAUGAGGAGCUUGCUCCUCUGACGUUAGCGGCGGACGGGUGAGUAACACGUGGAUAACCUACCUAUAAGACUGGGAUAACUUCGGGAAACCGGAGCUAAUACCGGAUAAUAUAUUGAACCGCAUGGUUCAAUAGUGAAAGACGGUUUUGCUGUCACUUAUAGAUGGAUCCGCGCCGCAUUAGCUAGUUGGUAAGGUAACGGCUUACCAAGGCAACGAUGCGUAGCCGACCUGAGAGGGUGCUCGGCCACACUGGAACUGAGACACGGUCCAGACUCCUACGGGAGGCAGCAGUAGGGAAUCUUCCGCAAUGGGCGAAAGCUUGACGGAGCAACGCCGCGUGAGUGAUGAAGGUCUUCGGAUCGUAAAACUCUGUUAUUAGGGAAGAACAAAUGUGUAAGUAACUAUGCACGUCUUGACGGUACCUAAUCAGAAAGCCACGGCUAACUACGUG